AAAAGGAUAGUAAUAUUCAGUCCUAUAUUGCACUUAACCAAAUUAAGUUAAACUUAAACAACACACCCAUAUUUAUUCCCUUAGUUUCUUUUUACAUUCCUCUCUGAAAGAAGAGUCUUCCCCUACAGCCCUACUUGUAUGUUAUUAUACAUCAUUAUUAGAAUGUAAAGGGCAUUACAUGCUGGGAGUUGACUUUGAAAUUUAUUUAGUGCAAAACAAAAACAAGAAAACAAAGGUCUCAACUACUUCUUUGAUAAAGAACAUGCAUGCUACCAAUGAUGAUAAUGCAAAUUGUAGGUUGGUUAUAGGUUUUUAGAUUAUUCAUAUUUUCAAAUGAACACGGUUACUUGUACAACUGUACUUGAUAUAUGUUAUGUUUAAUAAAAGCCAUGCUGCACUGUACGCAGCUCCUUGUUCAUUUCAGAUUUUAGUCUGUUACCUUUUAUUGCCAGCAGUAAAACAGAAUAUUACUUUUUCCAAAAACAGAGAAGUGAGAUUUCAAAGCAGCCAACAUUGUUCAAAUUGUUUCUCGUGCAAGAGCAGUAUUUUGUUUUAUAAUUUAGAUUGGUCAUGAGUGGUCUUGAAAAGCUUUCCUCCAAUCAGUUAUUAUUUCUGUUCCCCAGUUAUUUUUUCCUACAUAUUUCUGGUUGUUCAAUUUUGUCAAAGUUUCAGCCAAAAGGUUGUUAAUGCUAAGGAAGAGAUGGUUGACUUGUUUCUGUGUGCCAUAUUGGUGUUGAUAAGAAAUUCAGUGUUUCCUUAAUGGAAUUGAUUGCCAUGAAUUUGUAGGUCGGGCUUGAUGAGGAACACUAUUGCCUCCUUCAUCUCCAAGCUCACCUUCCGCGAGAUGUACAUCGUACUGCGCCACCAGAGCGGGUCACACCAGGCCCAAGGAAAAUUUGAUAGCUCGGCUGGCCUCCGGAACAAGUGUGAUGCUUUAUCUCCCAUGCUUCCGCAGAUCAGUAGUGCACUCUGUGAAACAGAUGCAGUUUUAUCUGCUCGCGGAGGCGGCCAAUAUUUCAGAUCCUCUAAUCCUCGAUGCCUUUAGUGUUUGUGAGGUUUCUAGGUAAGGAUUCCACUGGCUUGUUUUUUCCUUCUUCUCUUAGAGUAGUUCCUUUGGGUCUUUGCCUAAUAGCUAAUGCCUUUAGUCGGAUUCAGUUAUUGCAAUAAUAAUUUUGUCAAUUAGCAACUACUCUGAGCUAAAGAAUCAUGGCCAAGAGUUAAAUCGGUAAUUUUGAUGUUGUAAAUCUAGAGAUGCAACAUGAUUUCCAUCAGGGACCUGUUGCCUCUCAUUUGUGCAGCCACUGUUCUGUUUUU